CAGCACUCGCGCAGAAGCCUAGUGCCUGAUGAAGCUAAAUGAUACACUUUUGACUCAUCAAGGAUUUUCAAAGGCACAUUCAGUUUGCAAUCACCCAAUUGCAGUGCUGGCAUGUCCCAGGCUGUCUGCGCCACACAAAGCCUUGAACGGGAUUCAUUGUUGUUGCUCUGAAAUAAAGACAGUCUGAAGGCAGCUGUCUUUCACUCUGAUUGUUUGACAGAGGCCUCAGCCAGUAGACACCAGAAAUCUUUUUGAAUUAUGUUUUGGCUUAGUCUGCGGACAGGAUCUAUAGACGGCCAUGGGCUUUGGGGUGCCACUGGACUCACGCAGACAAAGUCUGUUGGAAUUUGCGAUGUUGAGAAGCUCGAUGAAGAAGUCUCGAUUCCGAUAGGCACACCGGGGUAUUGGCAUCUUAUUACUAUAACAAGAGGAAUGGAUUUAGCCCCUGUUCUACGCGAUGCUGAACCAUCAGUGUCCGAUGCACAGCUGCAGACGCUCGACGAGGUCUGGGCCCCGCUUUCAUCUCUGGCAUGCCGACCCCCUUUGAUCUGGAAUGCAGCCUGAGAUGCUCAGACAAGGCCCCGUUGGUUACCCUAAAAAACCAGCCUAAAGACCUGAGGUGAUCUGUGAGGGCCCCAAGUCCCUGGAGCUCCCUACCUGAGGAGCUUUGGCUUGCAAAUGCUGUAUCCUCUUUUAACUCUGGUCUUAAAUGUAUUUGUUUAUGCAGGCCUUCCUAUAACUGUUUGGCUUUUUAGUGUUUCAUUUUAUUAUUGCAUUUGAUUUCUGGUAUUUUUUUAUUCAUUUAUUUUUUUCCUUAUAUCUGUAUCGCACCUUGUAACUGUGUUUUGAAAUAUGUUAUAUAAAUAAAGUUUAUUAUAUAUUAUUAUUACUUAAACAUAGAAACACAGUAUUUAUACCAAGUUUAUGGACGUUGUUCAGACUUGGUGGUCCAACACUACGAAACCAGCUAAGCCUCACACUUAAUUAGCUUUUCAUAUAAAAAGUGAAUUACAGCAUCUCUAUUGGCUCGGUUCUAAAAUACACGGAGGGUGUGUUUUAUUUUAAGCCAGUGUCUCAGGAUUUUCCAUCCCAGUCAUAUUUCAGACUCAUUUUACCAUCUCUCUGCAACUCGAGGGAGAAGGAUGCUGCAGGCAUUUGUCUCCCUGAAUCUUAAUACACAUCUUUCUCUACCUCCUUAGCUUUCCCUUUUGUAUUAAAAAACUUUAUUUAAAUUAAUGUGUAAGGGAAUGAGGCAUAUAACCUCUCACGGUGCAUAUAAAAGACAAUACCAAUAACUUACAAUUUCAUUAUUCUCCACGAA